CCAGGAGCCCCACUCACCCAGACGUGGAACCCUGGCCGUGGCUCCCAGGGGCUACAGAGCGAGGAGCUUCCUGCCCUCCCCUUCCCUGAUCUUCUGAGGCAAUAAGCACCUUCUUCCUCAGGCUUCAGAACACGGUUUGCCCCGUUCUAGGUGUUGGUUCCUGACGCCUCUUCAGAGCUUUGAAGCCGGCAAACCUUUACAUUCGGGAUCUGGUGUGAUUUUUACAACUGUGUGAGACUUGUUCUAACAGUGACCAAGGUAUGUGAGUGUUUGGCUGAAGAGGAACCCGCCCACCCGCUCCCCCACUCCUGGCCCCCACCCUCGGUGUAACUUCACUGGCAUAAGGAACGCCAAACGAGGAAAGGUCCCCAGUCGAAGCAGAAAGAUUAGAGAGGGAUUUGAACCCAGCCCUGCGUUCUCUCCAACACUGAUCUCCAGCCUGCUUUGGAUUUGCCACCUCGACAUCCUGGAUCAAACUCAUUGGCUGGUUCUAGAAUCCGGAGCUCACUUUCAGCCAAUUAGGAAACAUCCGGAUUGUACUCCAUGCACAUCACCCUUUGAUCGCUGAUGCCCAGGUAUGUCUCUCCGCUGCCACUGCCUCCUCUUCCUCCUCCCACAAGGAAGGGAAAACCAACUCUCCCAUAGCUUCAGAAAGCACAAGGAUCCCUUAACACACCAGGUCACCAGUCAGGCGAUAAACAUUUAUUAAGUGCCUACUGUGUGCUAAGUACUUGGGAUACAAAGAAAGGCAAUUCCCUUCCCUUGACCUCUCCUGCCUUUCCUUCCCUGCUACAACAUACCCAGUGAGAGGCACAGAAACAAAAAAAACCAGCUUCCUGUCUGUUAAGGAGCGCAUAUUCUACUGGAGUUCAUGUGAUGCAUAAGAAUGGGCACAUUCUUGGCACACCUAUAGGCAUCAUUCUCACUGACAGGGAAAGCAUGUGCCCAGUAUCCUGCGGGAUCCUGAAGUGGUGGGAUGGGGGAAGGGGGAGGAACAAAGACAAAUUAUAUCUGAUGGUCAAAUAGACAUUUAAGGUUUGCACAGCACUUCACAUAUAUUAAUUUCCUCAUUUAACCACCUUAGAACAGCCCUGUGAGGCUCCUAUUAUCCUGUGAUAAUAGGUGAAGUGGCAUUAUCACCAUUUUGCAGAUGAGAAAACUGAGGCUGAGAAGGAGUAAGUGUUAAAUAUCAGGCUGGCCUGGGAACUCAGGAAUGGCCUGAAUUCCAAUCUUCCCUCAGAAUCUUAGCUGUGAAAACCCUGGGACAAAAGUCUCAACCUCAGUUUCUUCAUUUGCAAAACGGGAUCAGUUCCUCCUCCAAGGACUUACUCCAAAGGGCUAUUGUGAGGUUCAAGUGGAAUUGCAUAUGUAAGGUGCCUUGCCAAUGUUAAAGCAUUGUAUGGGUCAGAUAGUUAAACAUUGUAUGGGUCAGAUAGUUAAGUUAAGGCCUAUACUAUGUUGUUAGAUCGUACAUUACAUUGUAUAUUCUAUGUUAUGUUGUUACACAUUAUGUUCUAUUACAUAGUAUAUUAUAUUAUA